AAGGCUUUAAGUUAAAUAAACUAAUAGCCUUCAAAGCUAUCAUUAAGGAAAAAUUCUUUAAGCCUUA
rnacentral:tRNA from 1 species